rnacentral:rRNA from 1 species
AUUGAACGCUGGCGGCAGGCCUAACACAUGCAAGUCGAGCGAGCGGCGGACGGGUGAGUACUGUCUGGGAAACUGCCUGAUGGAGGGGCAUAACUACUGGAAACGGUUGCUAAUACCGCAUACCAUCCGAUUUCCCCAGACGGGAUUAGCUAGUAGGUGGGGUAACGGCUCACCUAGUCGACGAUCCCUAGCUGGUCUGAGCGGAUGACCAGCCACACUGGAACUGAGACACGGUCCAGACUCCUACGGGAGGCAGAAGUGGGGAAUAUUGGACAAUGGGCGCAAGCCUGAUGGAGCCAUGCCGCGUGUGUGAAGAAGGCCUUCGGGUUGUAAAGCACUUUCGGUGGGGAGGCGUUACCCGAAGAAAAAGCAACGGCUAACUCCGUGCCAGCAGCCGCGGUAAUAC